rnacentral:rRNA from 1 species
UACGUAGGGUGCAAGCGUUGUCCGGAAUUAUUGGGCGUAAAGAGCUCGUAGGCGGUUUGUCGCGUCUGCUGUGAAAACUCAGGGCUUAACCCUGAGCCUGCAGUGGGUACGGGCAGACUAGAGUGUGGUAGGGAGAUCGGAAUUCUGGUGUAGCGGUGGAAUGCGCAGAGUAUCAGGAGGAACACGGUGGCGAAGGCGGGUCUCGUGGGC